rnacentral:lncRNA from 1 species
CGGGAGCGGGGCCUGCCCGGACUGCGACGCCGCCACAGCUUGGGGCCAGUUCGCCCAGUCAGGGGGAUGGCUCGGUCGGCCUCGGGGGUCGACGAUCCCCCGGGACAUUGACAAGCAGUACGUGGGCUUCGCCACACUGCCCAACCAGGUGCACCGCAAGUCGGUGAAGAAAGGCUUUGACUUCACACUCAUGGUGGCUGGUGAGUCAGGCCUGGGGAAGUCCACACUGGUCCACAGCCUCUUCCUGACAGACUUGUACAAGGACCGGAAGCUGCUCAGUGCUGAGGAGCGCAUCAGCCAGACGGUAGAGAUUCUAAAACACACGGUGGACAUUGAGGAGAAGGGAGUCAAGCUGAAGCUCACCAUCGUGGACACGCCGGGAUUCGGGGACGCUGUCAACAACACCGAGUGCUGGAAGCCCAUCACCGACUAUGUGGACCAGCAGUUUGAGCAGUACUUCCGUGAUGAGAGCGGCCUCAACCGAAAGAACAUCCAAGACAACCGAGUGCACUGCUGCCUAUACUUCAUCUCCCCCUUCGGGCAUGGGCUGCGGCCAGUGGAUGUGGGUUUCAUGAAGGCAUUGCAUGAGAAGGUCAACAUCGUGCCUCUCAUCGCCAAAGCUGACUGUCUUGUCCCCAGUGAGAUCCGGAAGCUGAAGGAGCGGAUCCGGGAGGAGAUUGACAAGUUUGGGAUCCAUGUAUACCAGUUCCCUGAGUGUGACUCGGACGAGGAUGAGGACUUCAAGCAGCAGGACCGGGAACUGAAGGAGAGCGCGCCCUUCGCCGUUAUAGGCAGCAACACGGUGGUGGAGGCCAAGGGGCAGCGGGUCCGGGGCCGACUGUACCCCUGGGGGAUCGUGGAGGUGGAGAACCAGGCGCAUUGCGACUUCGUGAAGCUGCGCAACAUGCUCAUCCGCACGCAUAUGCACGACCUCAAGGACGUGACGUGCGACGUGCACUACGAGAACUACCGCGCGCACUGCAUCCAGCAGAUGACCAGCAAACUGACCCAGGACAGCCGCAUGGAGAGCCCCAUCCCGAUCCUGCCGCUGCCCACCCCGGACGCCGAGACUGAGAAGCUUAUCAGGAUGAAGGAUGAGGAACUGAGGCGCAUGCAGGAGAUGCUGCAGAGGAUGAAGCAGCAGAUGCAGGACCAGUGACGCUCGCCGCGGACACACCGUCCGUCUCCGGGACGCCCUCGCACCCCUGGACACCAGACCGGACUGUUCCCGACCCGGAGACGCGGGGCCACAGCCCCCAGCUGACCCUAAUUUAUUCUCAGCACCACCCCCUCCCAGGUCAUUGUGUCUGUUUCCGAGGGGCCUGGACCGUAGCCCCCGCCCAGCUGGCCCUCUCUGACCUUGGGGGAUCAGGAGCGAAGUUGGGCGGGACUUCAGAGAUCCGCCUCCCUUGCCCUUCCCCCGCCCCCGGACGGUCACAGCACCCAAACCGCAGGCCCUGCUCUGGCAGGCAGGCAAAGCUAGGCAGAAGAGGAUUCCCAGGAUCCUGGGUCUGUUCCCUGCCCCAGUGCUGCAGAACGGACUUGGGAGCCCUCCUUUGCCUGCUCCCGCGGGUCACCCAGCGAGUGCUGAGACCCCAUUUUCUGUCGAGGCGGGCCGAGUCUUCCCUUAUCCCCAGACGCCUAGCGGGCAGGGUUGGGCUGAAUCAAAUGGGAGCCCUCCAGACAUAAGGAGGCCAGAGGCUGCAAGGAGCGGGGUCGUGACCGCUUACACCCCUUCUCCACAGCCCGGCCCGACCUGGAGGGCCCCCGGGGCACUGGGCGGUGAGCCACCUCCUGGCAACUCUCGGUGCCGUCCCCUGCCCUCGCUCGAGGCCUCUUCUCCCCAGCACCGCUGUGGUGUGCCGGGAUCCUGAGCCUAGGCCUCCCGAUGUUCCCACCCGCAUGAUCCCUUCCCGCCACACGAUGCUCCGUUUUCUUCCGUUGUGAAUGCCGCGUCCUGUCCUGGUGACAGGAGAACAAUGUUGGUGAACGUCGCAGCGGGUGUCCGAGUGCUCCGUGUGCCCCUGAGAGCGGGUGGGAGCGGAAGCCUGAGCGGCCUGCGGCCUCCGGCGAUAGUGUGCUAUCUGCCGCUGCAGCGCGCGUCCGCGCGGCCUCUGGGCUAUUUCUGGCCAGGCCGCAGCACUGUGGUCGGUGCGGGCGUGGCAGGGGCGGGGCGGCCUUAUCGCUCGGCUCUCCCGCCUACGCCUCCCGCUGCAGAGUAAGCCGGGCUGCCGUCUUCUCGCCAUGGGCUCCGGGCCGCGCGGGGCGCUGAGCUUACUGCUCCUGCUGCUGGCCCCGCCGAGCCGCCCGGCCGCAGGUUGCCCGGCGCCCUGUAGCUGCGCGGGGACGCUCGUGGACUGCGGGCGCCGCGGGCUGACUUGGGCCUCGCUGCCGACCGCCUUCCCUGUCGACACAACCGAGCUGGUGCUGACCGGCAACAACCUGACGGCGCUGCCGCCGGGGCUGCUGGACGCGCUGCCCGCGCUGCGCACCGCACACCUGGGCGCCAACCCCUGGCGCUGCGACUGCCGCCUUGUGCCGCUGCGCGCCUGGCUGGCCGGCCGCCCCGAGCGUGCGCCCUACCGCGACCUGCGUUGCGUGGCGCCCCCAGCGCUGCGCGGCCGCCUGCUGCCCUAUCUGGCCGAGGACGAGCUGCGCGCCGCUUGCGCUCCCGGCCCGCUCUGCUGGGGGGCGCUGGCGGCGCAGCUUGCGCUGCUGGGCCUUGGGCUGCUGCACGCGUUGCUGCUGGUGCUGCUGCUGUGCCGCCUGCGGAGGCUGCGGGCCCGGGCCCGCGCUCGCGCCGCAGCCCGGCUGUCGCUGACCGACCCGCUGGUGGCCGAGCGAGCCGGAACCGACGAGUCCUGAGGAGAGAACCGGUGCGUCCUGAGGAGAGAACCGGCGCUGGGCAACACGGGCCUGCAAACUCGACAGGACCCUGCCCGAGGGGCCCUCGCGCCAACCUGGACCGGUCCCCGCCUCCUCCGCUGCCCAAUCUCUCAGACCCACCCCACCUGCAGGCCCAGACCACGUGGGACAGAACUCCUGCCCACCCUACCCCGAGGGAGGCGAACCCGCACUUCCAGGCUUGGGAGGACCAUGGGGCACAAUGCGGUCCAGACCCUGCUGCGUCUCCCUUCCAAACUCUGGUGCUGAAUAAACCCUUCUGAUCUGGUCU